GAAGGGAUCUUUUGGCUAAGUUGGGAGUACUAAGCAUGUGAUGAAGGAUAAUAUACCCAAUAUUUAGCACCAUUUCCUCUAGAAUGCAGUCCAAAAUGGCUACAUCUAAACGACUAAUUUCAUCUGCAUGACCAGCCCUAGGAGUAAUCACAUGAUGAAGAACACAAUGAAGGAUUCGAGUUUGAAGAGGUAAGGCUUGAGAUUUCAAAGGUGAGUUACAGAACGCAGUGGACAAAUCACGCCGUCAACAAAUU
rnacentral:lncRNA from 1 species